AUCCUACGGGACGCAGCAGUGGGGAAUAUUGGGCAAUGGGCGCAAGCCUGACCCAGCAACGCCGCGUGAAGGAAGAAGGCUUUCGGGUUGUAAACUUCUUUUGUCAGGGACGAAGCAAGUGACGGUACCUGACGAAUAAGCCACGGCUAACUACGUGCCUGCAGCCGCGGUAAUACGUAGGUGGCAAGCGUUAUCCGGAUUUACUGGGUGUAAAGGGCGUGUAGGCGGGACUGCAAGUCAGAUGUGAAAAUUAUGGGCUCAACCCAUAACCUGCAUUUGAAACUGUAGUUCUUGAGUGAUGGAGA
rnacentral:rRNA from 1 species